rnacentral:lncRNA from 1 species
AUAAAGAGAACAGGAAAACAGACUGUCCCGCAGCCCCUCCCCCUCUGGGUUGGGGGACGCGGGGGGGGCAACGGGGCGGGGGGGUGGGGGGGGGGGGGCACAGCCUCCUUCCGUGGGGAUUCCUCGCCUAACCCCCCCUGGGACCCUCCCCGUCGGGCCAGGCUGGGUGCUGCCUGCCCCUCCUCUGUGCUUCCCCUCUGGAAGCCCAGAGACCCUCACAGCUGCCCCCCCCCCCCCCCGCCCGGGGUCCUCUUGCCGGCAGGUGGAGGUGGCCCGGAGGUCCUGGAUCUUCAAGGACGAGGACGGCCAGGAUCAGAUCGGGGGCUUCGUGAAGGAGUUCGCCAACAUUGCCUUCCUCACCAUCAAGGGUGCCGGCCACAUGGUGCCCACCGACCAGCCACGGGCAGCCUUCAACAUGAUGCAGCGGUACCUCAACCGGCAGCCCUUCUAGGCCCGGGAGCAGCGCCUUUCCUGGGGAGACCAGCCCCCUCCCGCUGCCGCAUGGCUGCAAAGAGCGGCUCCUGACCGGCCUUGGGUGGGAUUCUGGAGGGUCUCUGGCCCUGGGCAGGUCCUCUGGCAGGGCCCUGUCUCCCCUCGCCCUUCUCUGCGCAUUUGCACUGUCCUCAGGGAGGAAGCAGGUCCCCUCGGUGGUGGGGGGUGCGUUUCUCAGCCUUCAUUCCGGCGGCUCUUGCAGGAGGAACUCGACGGGGGGUCAAGAGCAGCCAGGUUCUCUUUCCUGGUCCAAGCAAGCGAUUAAACUCUUAUUUUUCUACUGGAAAA